rnacentral:rRNA from 1 species
GGUUAAGCGACUAAGCGUACACGGUGGAUGCCCUGGCAGUCAGAGGCGAUGAAGGACGUGCUAAUCUGCGAUAAGCGUCGGUAAGGUGAUAUGAACCGUUAUAACCGGCGAUUUCCGAAUGGGGAAACCCAGUGUGUUUCGACACACUAUCAUUAACUGAAUCCAUAGGUUAAUGAGGCGAACCGGGGGAACUGAAACAUCUAAGUACCCCGAGGAAAAGAAAUCAACCGAGAUUCCCCCAGUAGCGGCGAGCGAACGGGGAGCAGCCCAGAGCCUGAAUCAGUGUGUGUGUUAGUGGAAGCGUCUGGAAAGGCGCGCGAUACAGGGUGACAGCCCCGUACACAAAAAUGCACAUACUGUGAGCUCGAUGAGUAGGGCGGGACACGUGGUAUCCUGUCUGAAUAUGGGGGGACCAUCCUCCAAGGCUAAAUACUCCUGACUGACCGAUAGUGAACCAGUACCGUGAGGGAAAGGCGAAAAGAACCCCGGCGAGGGGAGUGAAAAAGAACCUGAAACCGUGUACGUACAAGCAGUGGGAGCCUCUUAAUGGGGUGACUGCGUACCUUUUGUAUAAUGGGUCAGCGACUUAUAUUCUGUAGCAAGGUUAACCGAAUAGGGGAGCCGAAGGGAAACCGAGUCUUAACUGGGCGUUAAGUUGCAGGGUAUAGACCCGAAACCCGGUGAUCUAGCCAUGGGCAGGUUGAAGGUUGGGUAACACUAACUGGAGGACCGAACCGACUAAUGUUGAAAAAUUAGCGGAUGACUUGUGGCUGGGGGUGAAAGGCCAAUCAAACCGGGAGAUAGCUGGUUCUCCCCGAAAGCUAUUUAGGUAGCGCCUCGUGAAUUCAUCUCCGGGGGUAGAGCACUGUUUCGGCAAGGGGGUCAUCCCGACUUACCAACCCGAUGCAAACUGCGAAUACCGGAGAAUGUUAUCACGGGAGACACACGGCGGGUGCUAACGUCCGUCGUGAAGAGGGAAACAACCCAGACCGCCAGCUAAGGUCCCAAAGUCAUGGUUAAGUGGGAAACGAUGUGGGAAGGCCCAGACAGCCAGGAUGUUGGCUUAGAAGCAGCCAUCAUUUAAAGAAAGCGUAAUAGCUCACUGGUCGAGUCGGCCUGCGCGGAAGAUGUAACGGGGCUAAACCAUGCACCGAAGCUGCGGCAGCGACACUAUGUGUUGUUGGGUAGGGGAGCGUUCUGUAAGCCUGUGAAGGUGUACUGUGAGGUAUGCUGGAGGUAUCAGAAGUGCGAAUGCUGACAUAAGUAACGAUAAAGCGGGUGAAAAGCCCGCUCGCCGGAAGACCAAGGGUUCCUGUCCAACGUUAAUCGGGGCAGGGUGAGUCGACCCCUAAGGCGAGGCCGAAAGGCGUAGUCGAUGGGAAACAGGUUAAUAUUCCUGUACUUGGUGUUACUGCGAAGGGGGGACGGAGAAGGCUAUGUUGGCCGGGCGACGGUUGUCCCGGUUUAAGCGUGUAGGCUGGUUUUCCAGGCAAAUCCGGAAAAUCAAGGCUGAGGCGUGAUGACGAGGCACUACGGUGCUGAAGCAACAAAUGCCCUGCUUCCAGGAAAAGCCUCUAAGCAUCAGGUAACAUCAAAUCGUACCCCAAACCGACACAGGUGGUCAGGUAGAGAAUACCAAGGCGCUUGAGAGAACUCGGGUGAAGGAACUAGGCAAAAUGGUGCCGUAACUUCGGGAGAAGGCACGCUGAUAUGUAGGUGAAGUCCCUCGCGGAUGGAGCUGAAAUCAGUCGAAGAUACCAGCUGGCUGCAACUGUUUAUUAAAAACACAGCACUGUGCAAACACGAAAGUGGACGUAUACGGUGUGACGCCUGCCCGGUGCCGGAAGGUUAAUUGAUGGGGUUAGCGGUAACGCGAAGCUCUUGAUCGAAGCCCCGGUAAACGGCGGCCGUAACUAUAACGGUCCUAAGGUAGCGAAAUUCCUUGUCGGGUAAGUUCCGACCUGCACGAAUGGCGUAAUGAUGGCCAGGCUGUCUCCACCCGAGACUCAGUGAAAUUGAACUCGCUGUGAAGAUGCAGUGUACCCGCGGCAAGACGGAAAGACCCCGUGAACCUUUACUAUAGCUUGACACUGAACAUUGAGCCUUGAUGUGUAGGAUAGGUGGGAGGCUUUGAAGUGUGGACUCCAGUCUGCAUGGAGCCGGCCUUGAAAUACCACCCUUUAAUGUUUGAUGUUCUAACGUUGGCCCCUUACCGGGGUUGCGGACAGUGUCUGGUGGGUAGUUUGACUGGGGCGGUCUCCUCCUAAAGAGUAACGGAGGAGCACGAAGGUUGGCUAAUCCUGGUCGGACAUCAGGAGGUUAGUGCAAUGGCAUAAGCCAGCUUGACUGCGAGCGUGACGGCGCGAGCAGGUGCGAAAGCAGGUCAUAGUGAUCCGGUGGUUCUGAAUGGAAGGGCCAUCGCUCAACGGAUAAAAGGUACUCCGGGGAUAACAGGCUGAUACCGCCCAAGAGUUCAUAUCGACGGCGGUGUUUGGCACCUCGAUGUCGGCUCAUCACAUCCUGGGGCUGAAGUAGGUCCCAAGGGUAUGGCUGUUCGCCAUUUAAAGUGGUACGCGAGCUGGGUUUAGAACGUCGUGAGACAGUUCGGUCCCUAUCUGCCGUGGGCGCUGGAGAACUGAGGGGGGCUGCUCCUAGUACGAGAGGACCGGAGUGGACGCAUCACUGGUGUUCGGGUUGUCAUGCCAAUGGCACUGCCCGGUAGCUAAAUGCGGAAGAGAUAAGUGCUGAAAGCAUCUAAGCACGAAACUUGCCCCGAGAUGAGUUCUCCCUGACUCCUUGAGAGUCCUGAAGGAACGUUGAAGACGACGACGUUGAUAGGCCGGGUGUGUAAGCGCAGCGAUGCGUUGAGCUAACCGGUACUAAUGAACCGUGAGGCUUAACCUU